rnacentral:lncRNA from 1 species
GGCUAACAAAAUUAAAUCAGAGUUUCUAGCUCGGCUACAAAAAUGGCUCGAAGCAUGGCAUAUGAACAAAUCUCUGUCUGGCCGCUCUUGGCUAGGUCAACAUCUAAACAUGUACAUCAUUACCUGCAUCAUAAGAACCUAAUGAGCUAAUGGCUCAGCAAGUUGAAACGGAUGUAAUAGCAAUAUACCACAUAACACGUUAUUCAUUCAAUAUGUACAAUAUCACAUAUAACUUCAUUUGUGAUCCUUUUCUUUCAAAUCUUUCUCUUUAUCGGGUACCCUUGAAGUGUGGUACUUGACUGAUAGCAAUAGGCUUUCGUUUUCGGAACCUGUUCAUCAUAUUUGGCCAAUAUAUAAUACGGGGUUUCCAUACCGGCCUUUCGACCUCAGGUAUUAGCCGUAUUUCAUUUCAUUAAUUGUGGGUUUUCCAUACUGGACUUUCGACCUCAGGUAUUUGCCACCAUGUGUUGGGUCCGCCGGUUCCUCCCGCGUCCCUUGCCUACUCGACCAUCAAUCAAGUACCAUACUCCCAUUUUCAAAACAUAUUCUUUCAUAUCACUCUGACUCAUCAAUCAUUCAAACAUCAUGGAGAACACAUAGCAAAAGUCACAUUAAAGCACACAUAAUUAGGUUCAUAUGAUGAACAAAUGAAAGCUUCAACUUACCUCAAGUCCAAUAUGGUCUAUGAAGUGAAAAGAUCAGUCUCAUAUAGGUUGUGCUAGAGUCCUUGAUUGAAGAUGAAUUCAAACUUCAAAGCGUAGGAUUUUCAGCUAGAAAAGGUGCAGAACUUGUUCUAGCACUACUUCUAUGAGUUCUUAUGAUUGAUGUUCUCUUAUGUGAGUAUGGAAGUGAAGAAAUAUCAAGAGAAGCUUAAGGAAAUAGGUCUGGUCGGUUUUUGGAAGAAGACAAGUGAAAUGAAGACCAAAACACAAAGUCUUCACUUAUCUACCCAUUCCCAACAAGGCCAAAUGGAGGAUGAUGACUGGAAGGCUUAUAUUUGCUGGAUUCUUGUGGUUCCUCCACGUUUUUCUAGCUUGAGAUAAGAUAUGGGCUGAUGCUUACUCAUUAUAAUAAAGUGUAAACAAUUUGAGAAUGGUCUUGUGCAACCUAGUCAACCAACCAAUCAAAUUGCACCCUUUUUGCAUACUUUUGGUUUUAGUCUAAUAUGAGUUACCUCAAGUACUUACAUAUGUAAUUAAUCAUAUUAAAAUGUAAUUAAAAUGCAGAAUUGCAAUUAAAACAAAUAUAUCAGCGUUUAGCACAUUGAUCCCUUCUUAACCGAGAAACUGAGCUUCUCACUACAAUAAAUCAGUUAAGUCUCAUGUUAAAUCAUAAAAUAGGAGUUCAAUAACAUGUAUCAUGUAUCAGCACAUUUUAAGAAAAGUAUUCGAUCACGUAUUAAAACACAAUUAAGGCACAUGUGUAGCAAGUAGUGGUGAUCAUGCAUCAUGAAUAAUGAAUUAUAACUACAUGCAUUGAUGCAAUAUGCUUAUUAUUGGCCAUGUACGGAUGAUUGGGCAUUACAAUCCUUUCCCUCCUUAUAAAAUUUCGCCCUCGAAAUUUGACGUACCGAACAAUUCUGGAUAUUUGCUAUGCAUUUCUUCCUCUCUUUCCCACGUGGCUUCUUCAAUAGAUUGAUUUCUCCACAAUACCUUAACUAAUGGAAUCUUUUUAUUUCUCAGCUCCUUGACUUUUUGAUCAAUAAUUUGAAUUGGUUUUUCCUCAUAAGACAAAUCUGCAGAAAACUCCAACGGUUCAUAACUCAACACAUGAGAGGGAUUUGAAAUGUACUUCUUCAACAUAGACACAUGAAAAACAUUGUGAACACCAGAAAAUGAAGGAGGUAAGGCUACUCUAUAUGCUCUAUCACCAACUCUGUCAAGGAUUUCAAACGGACCAACAUAUCUUGGACUAAGUUUUCCUUUCUUUCCAAAUCUCAUGAUGCCUUUCAAUGGAGCCACUUUCAAAAAUACAUGGUCGCCAACCGUAAACUCUAGAUCUCUUCUUCGUUUAUCUGCAUAGCUUUUCUGUCUACUCUGUGCCGUCUUCAUUCUUUCCCUUAUCUUCUGUACCGUCUCAGCUGUAUGUUGCACCAUCUCUGGCCCAAGUAGACUUCUUUCGCCAACUUCAUUCCAAUGAACUGGAGAUCUACAUUUUCUCCCAUAUAGUGCUUCAUAAGGUGCCAUUCCAAUUGUAGAUUGAUAGCUGUUAUUGUAAGUGAACUCUACCAACGGAAGUUUUUCAUCCCAACUCCCUUUCAAAUCUAGAACACAAGCUCUUAACAUAUCCUGAAGUAUUUGAAUAACUCUCUCGGAUCGUCCAUCAGUCUGUGGAUGAAAUGCUGUACUAAAUGCAAGCUUCGUCCCCAUAGCAUUGUUCAAACUCUUCCAAAAUGCAGAAGUAAACUUCGGAUCUCUAUCAGACACUAUUGACACUGGCACUCCAUGCAAUCUAACUACCUCUUUAAUAUAUUGUUGUGCAUAUUGCUCCAUGUUGAAUGUGGACUUCAUUGGAAGAAAAUGGGCUGAUUUAGUUAGUCUAUCAACAAUCACCCAUAUGGAAUUGUAUCCCCUUUGUGUUCUAGGCAAUCCAAGCACAAAAUCCAUUGUAAUAUGCUCCCAUUUCCACUCUGGAAUCAGUAAAGGUUUCAAUAGUCCUGCUUGUCUUUGAUGUUCCAUUUUAACUUGUUGACAAGUGAGGCAUUCAGCCACAAACUUUGCUAUAUAUUUCUUCAUGUUAGGCCACCAGUAGUAUAGUUGUAAGUCUUUGUACAUUUUUGUGCUGCCCGGGUGCACUGAGUAAGGACUUCUGUGAGCUUCUUCCAAAAUGUCGCCCUUUAUGUUAGCCUCAAAAGGAACACACAAUCUUCCUUUAUACCUAAUUAUUUCAUCGUUACCAAUAAAGAAGUUCGGCCUCUUCUUAGCAUCAAUCAUACUUCGCAACCUGGACAAAUACUUAUCCACUUUCAGACCCUCUUUGAUUCGGUCAUGCAGUACGGGUUUUAAUACUAAAGAUGAUAAAGAACUAACCGUCCCUUUAGGUACAAUUUCAAGCUCUAAUCAUUGUAAAUCCAGUAGUAUUGGUUUCUGCAUAACAAGGAAGGAAGACAUAGAUUUUCGACUCAAUGCAUCUGCAACUACAUUAGCUUUACCAGGAUGAUAGUUAAUCACACAAUCAUAAUCCUUCACAAGUUCUAACCAUCUUCGUUGUCUCAUAUUCAAUUCUUUCUGAGUGAAGAAGUACUUCAAGCUCUUGUGAUCCGUGUAAAUCUCACAUUUCUCACCAUAUAGGUAAUGCUUCCAAAUUUUCAAGGCAAACACAACGGCAGCAAGCUCUAAAUCAUGAGUUGGGUAAUUCUUCUCAUACUCCUUCAAUUGUCUUGAAGCAUAGGCGAUAACAUUCCCAUGCUGCAUCAAUACAGCACCCAAUCCAUUUUUUGAAGCAUCACUAUACACUACGAAUCCACCAGUUCCAGAAGGAAUGACGAGAACAGGAGCUGUAGUCAAUCUCCGUUUCAACUCUUGAAAGCUACUUUCACAUGCAUCAGUCCAUACAUACUUCACGUUCUUUCCUGUAAGCAUUGUUAAUGGAGUUGCUAUCCUGGAAAACCCCUGAACAAAUCUUCGAUAAUAUCCCGCCAAUCCUAAGAAACUUCUAACCUCUGAUACAGUUGUUGGUGUUGGCCAAUUUUUGACAGCUUCUAUCUUACUCGGGUCAACAGAAAUACCAUUCUUGGACACGACAUGCCCUAGGAAUACAACUUGAUCAAGCCAAAACUCGCACUUCUUAAAUUUAGCAUAUAGUUGCCUUUCUUUCAACAUUUGCAACACCACUCUCAAAUGUUCUCUAUGUUCGUCUUUAUCAUGGGAAUAGAUCAAGAUAUCAUCAAUGAACACAAUCACAAAUUUGUCGAGGAACUCCUUGAACACCCUAUUCAUCAAAUCCAUAAAAGCUGCAGGGGCAUUUGUUAAGCCAAAGGGCAUGACUAGAAAUUCAUAAUGUCCAUACCUUGUUCUAAAUGCAGUCUUUUGUAUGUCAUCCUCCUUUAUUUUCAAUUGAUGAUACCCGGAGCGUAAAUCGAUCUUCGAAAAUAUUGAUGCUUCUUGCAAUUGAUCAAACAAAUCAUCUAUUCUGGGUAGUGGAUAUUUAUUCUUGAUUGUAAGUUUGUUUAGUUCUCUAUAAUCGAUGCAUAAACGUAAUGUACCAUCUUUCUUUUUCACCAACAAAACCGGUGCUCCCCAAGGAGAAUAACUCGGCCGAAUAAGACCUUUAUGCAACAAGUCUUGUAGUUGAAUCUUCAACUCUUUUAGUUCUGUUGGUGCCAUUCUGUAUGGAGCUUUAGAAAUAGGAGUACUUCCAGGCAACGUAUCAAUAACAAAUUCAAUUUCACGAUCCGGUGGCAGUCCUGGUAAGUCAUCUGGAAAUACCUCAAGAAAUUGAUCAACCACAUCCACAUCUUGGGGUUUCAAUUGAGUUCGUACUGAAGUGUCCAUAACAUUAGCCAAGUAUCCAACACAACCCUUACUCAUCAUCUUUUGAGCCUUCAAUGCAGCUAUAAAUGGUAUUGAAGAUGAAAGUAAAUGACUACCAAACUCGAAAUGUUCUUCACCAGGUGGCUGAAAGAUGACAACCUUCCGAUUACAAUUAAUCGUUGCAUAAUAUUUUGUAAGCCAAUCCAUGCCCAAAAUAGUCUCAAAAUUUGCGACCGGUAAAACAACUAGAUCCGCACAAAGUGUUCUACCACUUAUCUGAAUAGAACAAUGUUUCAACAUUUGGUUGGAAUUCAUCUCUUCUCCUGAUGGAGUCGUCACAUUGUACAUCACAUCUAACGUAUCUGGUAUAAUGCCCAAUCUCCUCACCAAUGAAUGUGAUGCAAAUGAAUGCGUAGAUCCUGAAUCUAUUAAUGCAAGUGCUGGAGUUCCUAAAAUCAAAAUAGUACCUGAGACAACGGAUGCAUCUGCAUCAGCUUGUUCUUUAGUCAUUGCAUACACUCUCGCUUGAACUUUGACUGGUGGGGUGCGACAAUUCCUUGCAAUAUGCCCUGGCUUCUUACACUUGAAGCAACGAUUUAAACCGCUAUAGCAUUCUCCAAAAUGAUUCUUCCCACAUGUGGCACACUUGGGCUUUUCAACUGUAGUAGAACUUUGUACAACUCUAGGGCGCUUCUCAUUUACUUGGCCGGAUUUUUGCUCUGGUUUCUUCCAUUGAGAUUGAGUUCUUUGAGUAAAAGUUUGCCUCCUCUGUUGGUGAAAUUUCUGAAUUUCCUUCUCAUCAAAGUCAGCCAUCAAUGCGUUGUCCACCACUUGUCGAAACUCGUUUGGAGAAGAGAUCCUUACAUCUUUUCUAAUAACUGGGUUGAGGCAUCUCAUGAAGUGAUCCAUCUUUUCUUUGUUAUCUUUGGCUAUGUAAGGUACAUACUUGCAACCUUCCUCGAAUUUUCGCACGUAGUCACAUACGGACAUUUCAUUCUGCUUCAAUUCUAAGAACUCUUUAACUUUGAGUGACCGCACAUCCCUCGUGAAAUACUUGUCAUAAAAGAUUGUUUUGAAUGCCUCCCAUGUCAACUUCUCCAUAUCCACUGCAAGUUUUGUACCCUCCCACCAAGUUCGAGCUUCUUUCUUCAAUAGGAAAAUGGCACAAAGUACUUUCUCGGAAUCUUCGAUACGCAUGUAGUCAAAGAUGACAUCUAGAGAUUUUACCCAUUCUUCCGCAACCAUAGGAUCAGACCCACCAUAGAAAUCAACCGGUUCCAUUUUACGAAACUUCUCAUACACGGUAAGCGAGUUAUCAUGUCUAGCUUGUGGAGGAGGUUGUUGGUUUUGUUCAUGGGUUCGCUGUUGCAUAUCGAACAAUUUUUGUAUCUGUUCGCCAUGCAUUCUAGUCUGUUGCUGAAUCAAACCAGCUAAAUUAUCAACUAAGUUGUAGUCACCCUCGUGGUCAACAUUCCCUGUCUUCCUUUUUGGUGCCAUUACUUCCUAUACAUUGCCGAAUCUCACCCCGUUCAUUAGCCAAUACUAAUGCACAAUCAUGUCAAUGGAAUAUACAUGUUAAUAAAUAAAACACAUAGGUAAAUAAGAAGAGAGUUAACCAAGCUUCCCAGCCAAAGUAUGUUCAUAUGCCUUCUUCUGUCUUCAGAAAAGAUUUUAAACCUCCGCUCUGAUACCACAAAAUGUAACGCCCCACAACCUAACAGCAGAAUCCAAUCGGAUCACCACCAUUAGGUUAGGGAUGCUAACCUUUUUAUAUAUAUAUACUUAAACAUUAUGGUUUUGAUACAAACAUACGUUAUAUGCUUUGAAAAGAAAUCAAACUUUGUACUUUCUCAAAAUCUGUACAUAUAUAUAUAUAUAUAUAUAUAUAUAUAUAUAUAUAUAUAUAUAUAUGUAUAUAUAUAUAUAAAUAUUUUAUGUUUACAAAAUUACAUUGUACAAAAACCAUAAUAGAGCGGCUAACAAAAUUAAAUCAGAGUUUCUAGCUCGGCUACAAAAAUGGCUCGAAGCAUGGCAUAUGAACAAAUCUCUGUCUGGCCGCUCUUGGCUAGGUCAACAUCUAAACAUGUACAUCAUUGCCUGCAUCAUAAGAACCUAAUGAGAUAAUGGCUCAGCAAGUUGAAACGGAUGUAAUAGCAAUAUACCACAUAACACGUUAUUCAUUCAAUAUGUACAAUAUCACAUAUAACUUCAUUUGUGAUCCUUUUCUUUCAAAUCUUUCUCUUUAUCGGGUACCCUUGAAGUGUGGUACUUGACUGAUAGCAAUAGGCUUUCGUUUUCGGAACCUGUUCAUCAUAUUUGGCCAAUAUAUAAUACGGGGUUUCCAUACCGGCCUUUCGACCUCAGGUAUUAGCCGUAUUUCAUUUCAUUAAUUGUGGGUUUUCCAUACUGGUCUUUCGACCUCAGGUAUUUGCCACCAUGUGUUGGGUCCGCCGGUUCCUCCCGCGUCCCUUGCCUACUCGACCAUCAAUCAAGUACCAUACUCCCAUUUUCAAAACAUAUUCUUUCAUAUCACUAUGACUCAUCAAUCAUUCAAACAUCAUGGAGAACACAUAGCAAAAGUCACAUUAAAGCACACAUAAUUAGGUUCUUAUGAUGAACAAAUGAAAGCUUCAACUUACCUCAAGUCCAAUAUGGUCUAUGAAGUGAAAAG